rnacentral:rRNA from 1 species
AUUGAACGCUGGCGGCAGGCCUAACACAUGCAAGUCGAGCGAGCGGCGGACGGGUGAGUAAUGUCUGGGAAACUGCCUGAUGGAGGGGGAUAACUGCUGGAAACGGUAGCUAAUACCGCAUACCAUCCGAUUUGCCCAGAUGGGGUUAGCUAGGAGGUGGGGUAACGGCUCACCUGGGCGACGAUCCCUAGCUGGCCUGCGAGGAUGACAAGCCAAACUGGAACUGAGACACGGUCCAGACUCCUACGGGAGGCAGCAGUGGGGAAUAUUGCACAAUGGGCGCAAGCCUGAUGCAGCAAUGCCGCGGGUGUGAAGAAGGCCUUCGGGUUGUAAAGCACUUUCAGCGGGGAGGCGUUACCCGCAGAGGAAGCACCGGCUAACUCCGUGCCAGCAGCCGCGGUAAUAC